rnacentral:lncRNA from 1 species
CCAAUUCUUAGUGUCAGCUUCAUGCAUAGAAUUCAUGUUGAAACCCUAUUCCCCAGUGUGAUAGCAUUAGGAGUUGGGCCUUUGAGAGGUUAGUAGGAUUAGAUAAGGUCAUAAUGGUGGAGCCCUCAUAAAUGGGAUUAGUGCCCUUAUAAGAGUCACAAGAGAGCUUAUUUCCCUUCUCUGCUCUCCACCAUGUGAGGAUAAAAUGAGAAGUCAGCAGUCUGGAACCCGGAAGAGAAACCUCAUCAGAAACUGACCAUGCUGGCACCCUAAAACUGGGACUUCCAGCCUCCAGAAUUAGUCUCGCUCUGUCACCCAGACUGGAGUACAAGGAUGCGAUCUCGGCCCACUGCAACCUCCACCUCCCAGGUUCAAGCGAUUCUCCCACCUCAGCCUCCUGAGUAGCUGGGAUUACAG